rnacentral:misc_RNA from 1 species
GAUGAAGAACGUAGCGAAAUGCGAUACGUAAUGUGAAUUGCAAAUUCAGUGAAUCAUCGAGUCUUUGAACGCACAUUGCGCCCCCUGGUAUUCCGGGGGGCAUGCCUGUCCGAGCGUCAUUGCUGCCCUCAAGCACGGCUUGUGUGUUGGGCCCCGUCCUCCGAUCCCGGGGGACGGGCCCGAAAGGCAGCGGCGGCACCGCGUCCGGUCCUCGAGCGUAUGGGGCUUUGUCACCUGCUCUGUAGGCCCGGCCGGCGCUUGCCGAUCAACCCAAAUUUUUAUCCAGGUUGACCUCGGAUCAGGUAGGGAUACCCGCUGAACUUAAGCAUAUCAAUAAGCGGAGGA